AUUGAACGCUGGCGGCAGGCCUAACACAUGCAAGUCGAACGAGUGGCGGACGGGUGAGUAAUGUCUGGGAAACUGCCUGAUGGAGGGGGCUAACUACUGGAAACGGUAGCUAAUACCGCAUACCAUCAGAUGUGCCCAGAUGGGAUUAGCUAGUUGGUGGGGUAACGGCUCACCAAGGCGACGAUCCCUAGCUGGUCUGAGAGGAUGACCACCCCCCCCCGCACUGAGACACGGUCCAGACUCCUACGGUAGGCAGAAGUGGGGAAUAUUGCACAAGGGGCGCAAGCCUGAUGCAGCCAUGCCGCGUGUAUGAAGAAGGCAUUCGGGUUGUAAAGGACUUGCAGCGGGGAGGCGUUACCCGCAGAAGAAGCACCGGCUAACUCCGUGCCAGCAGCCGCGGUAAUAC
rnacentral:rRNA from 1 species